GAAACCCAGUGUGAUUCGUCACACUAUCAUUAACUGAAUCCAUAGGUUAAUGAGGCGAACCGGGGGAACUGAAACAUCUAAGUACCCCGAGGAAAAGAAAUCAACCGAGAUUCCCCCAGUAGCGGCGAGCGAACGGGGAGGAGCCCAGAGCCUGAAUCAGCAUGUGUGUUAGUGGAAGCGUCUGGAAAGGCGCGCGAUACAGGGUGACAGCCCCGUACACAAAAGCGCAUGUGCUGUGAGCUCGAUGAGUAGGGCGGGACACGUGGUAUCCUGUCUGAAUAUGGGGGGACCAUCCUCCAAGGCUAAAUACUCCUGACUGACCGAUAGUGAACCAGUACCGUGAGGGAAAGGCGAAAAGAACCCCGGCGAGGGGAGUGAAAAAGAACCUGAAACCGUGUACGUACAAGCAGUGGGAGCACCCUUUGGGUGUGACUGCGUACCUUUUGUAUAAUGGGUCAGCGACUUAUAUUCUGUAGCAAGGUUAACCGAAUAGGGGAGCCGGAGGGAAACCGAGUCUUAACCGGGCGUUAAGUUGCAGGGUAUAGACCCGAAACCCGGUGAUCUAGCCAUGGGCAGGUUGAAGGUUGGGUAACACUAACUGGAGGACCGAACCGACUAAUGUUGAAAAAUUAGCGGAUGACCUGUGGCUGGGGGUGAAAGGCCAAUCAAACCGGGAGAUAGCUGGUUCUCCCCGAAAGCUAUUUAGGUAGCGCCUCGUGAAUUCAUCUCCGGGGGUAGAGCACUGUUUCGGCUAGGGGGCCAUCCCGGCUUACCAACCCGAUGCAAACUGCGAAUACCGGAGAAUGUUAUCACGGGAGACACACGGCGGGUGCUAACGUCCGUCGUGAAGAGGGAAACAACCCAGACCGCCAGCUAAGGUCCCAAAGUCAUGGUUAAGUGGGAAACGAUGUGGGAAGGCCCAGACAGCCAGGAUGUUGGCUUAGAAGCAGCCAUCAUUUAAAGAAAGCGUAAUAGCUCACUGGUCGAGUCGGCCUGCGCGGAAGAUGUAACGGGGCUAAACCAUGCACCGAAGCUGCGGCAGCGACACUGUGUGUUGUUGGGUAGGGGAGCGUUCUGUAAGCCUGUGAAGGUGUGUCGUGAGGCAUGCUGGAGGUAUCAGAAGUGCGAAUGCUGACAUAAGUAACGAUAAAGCGGGUGAAAAGCCCGCUCGCCGGAAGACCAAGGGUUCCUGUCCAACGUUAAUCGGGGCAGGGUGAGUCGACCCCUAAGGCGAGGCCGAAAGGCGUAGUCGAUGGGAAACGGGUUAAUAUUCCCGUACUUGGUGUUACUGCGAAGGGGGGACGGAGAAGGCUAUGUUGGCCGGGCGACGGUUGUCCCGGUUUAAGCGUGUAGGUGUGUGUUCCAGGUAAAUCCGGUUCACUUUAACACUGAGGCGUGACGACGAGGCACUACGGUGCUGAAGCAACAAAUGCCCUGCUUCCAGGAAAAGCCUCUAAGCAUCAGGUAACAUCAAAUCGUACCCCAAACCGACACAGGUGGUCAGGUAGAGAAUACCAAGGCGCUUGAGAGAACUCGGGUGAAGGAACUAGGCAAAAUGGUGCCGUAACUUCGGGAGAAGGCACGCUGACACGUAGGUGAAGUGAUUUACUCAUGGAGCUGAAGUCAGUCGAAGAUACCAGCUGGCUGCAACUGUUUAUUAAAAACACAGCACUGUGCAAACACGAAAGUGGACGUAUACGGUGUGACGCCUGCCCGGUGCCGGAAGGUUAAUUGAUGGGGUCAGCGCAAGCGAAGCUCCUGAUCGAAGCCCCGGUAAACGGCGGCCGUAACUAUAACGGUCCUAAGGUAGCGAAAUUCCUUGUCGGGUAAGUUCCGACCUGCACGAAUGGCGUAAUGAUGGCCAGGCUGUCUCCACCCGAGACUCAGUGAAAUUGAACUCGCUGUGAAGAUGCAGUGUACCCGCGGCAAGACGGAAAGACCCCGUGAACCUUUACUAUAGCUUGACACUGAACAUUGAGCCUUGAUGUGUAGGAUAGGUGGGAGGCUUUGAAGUGUGGACGCCAGUCUGCAUGGAGCCGACCUUGAAAUACCACCCUUUAAUGUUUGAUGUUCUAACGUGGACCCGUUACCCGGGUUGCGGACAGUGUCUGGUGGGUAGUUUGACUGGGGCGGUCUCCUCCUAAAGAGUAACGGAGGAGCACGAAGGUUGGCUAAUCCUGGUCGGACAUCAGGAGGUUAGUGCAAUGGCAUAAGCCAGCUUGACUGCGAGCGUGACGGCGCGAGCAGGUGCGAAAGCAGGUCAUAGUGAUCCGGUGGUUCUGAAUGGAAGGGCCAUCGCUCAACGGAUAAAAGGUACUCCGGGGAUAACAGGCUGAUACCGCCCAAGAGUUCAUAUCGACGGCGGUGUUUGGCACCUCGAUGUCGGCUCAUCACAUCCUGGGGCUGAAGUAGGUCCCAAGGGUAUGGCUGUUCGCCAUUUAAAGUGGUACGCGAGCUGGGUUUAGAACGUCGUGAGACAGUUCGGUCCCUAUCUGCCGUGGGCGCUGGAGAACUGAGGGGGGCUGCUCCUAGUACGAGAGGACCGGAGUGGACGCAUCACUGGUGUUCGGGUUGUCAUGCCAAUGGCACUGCCCGGUAGCUAAAUGCGGAAGAGAUAAGUGCUGAAAGCAUCUAAGCACGAAACUUGCCCCGAGAUGAGUUCUCCCUGAGACUUAGAGUCUCCUGAAGGAACGUUGAAGACGACGACGUUGAUAGGCCGGG
rnacentral:rRNA from 1 species